AGCAGCCGCGGUAAUUCCAGCUCCAAUAGCGUAUAUUAAAGUUGUUGCAGUUAAAAAGCUCGUAGUUGAAUUUCGGGAUCAAUUUGCUGGUCGUGCCUCUGGUACGUACUGGUAUUAUUGGUUUCUCCCUUCUGACGAACCAUGAUGUCAUUAAUUUGAUGUCGUGGAGAAUCAGGACUGUUACUUUGAAAAAAUUAGAGUGUUUAAAGCAGGCAUUAGCUUGAAUACAUUAGCAUGGAAUAAUGAAAUAGGACGUUUGAUCCUAUUUUGUUGGUUUCUAGGAUUGACGUAAUGAUUAAUAGGGAUAGUUGGGGGCAUUAGUAUUCAAUUGUCAGAGGUGAAAUUCUUGGAUUUAUUGAAGACUAACUACUGCGAAAGCAUUUGCCAAGGAUGUUUUCAUUAAUCAAGAACGAAAGUUAGGGGAUCGAAGACGAUCAGAUACCGUCGUAGUCUUAACC
rnacentral:misc_RNA from 1 species